GUAGUCAUGGUGGAGUGGUUAAGGCGAUGGACUUGAAAUCCAUUGGAGUUUCCCGGUGCAGGUCCACCUCCUGCCUAUUACG
rnacentral:tRNA from 1 species